rnacentral:rRNA from 1 species
GACGAACGCUGGCGGCGUGCUUAACACAUGCAAGUCGAACGGUGAACCUCUUCGGAGGGGAUCAGUGGCGAACGGGUGAGUAACACGUGGGCAACCUGCCCCCGGCUCUGGGAUAACUCCAAGAAAUUGGGGCUAAUACCGGAUGUUCACCGCUUCCCGCAUGGGUGGUGGUGGAAAGGGUUUCCGGAUGGGGAUGGGCCCGCGGCCUAUCAGCUUGUUGGUGGGGUAGUGGCCUACCAAGGCGACGACGGGUAGCCGGCCUGAGAGGGUGACCGGCCACACUGGGACUGAGACACGGCCCAGACUCCUACGGGAGGCAGCAGUGGGGAAUAUUGCGCAAUGGGCGGAAGCCUGACGCAGCGACGCCGCGUGGGGGAUGACGGCCUUCGGGUUGUAAACCUCUUUCAGCAGGGACGAAGCGCAAGUGACGGUACCUGCAGAAGAAGCACCGGCCAACUACGUG